GACGAACGCUGGCGGCGUGCUUAACACAUGCAAGUCGAGCGGAGAGGCCCUGCUUUUGUGGGGUGCUCGAGUGGCGAACGGGUGAGUAACACGUGAGUAACCUGCCCUUGACUUUGGGAUAACUUCAGGAAACUGGGGCUAAUACCGGAUAGGAGCUCCUGCUGCAUGGUGGGGGUUGGAAAGUUUCGGCGGUUGGGGAUGGACUCGCGGCUUAUCAGCUUGUUGGUGGGGUAGUGGCUUACCAAGGCUUUGACGGGUAGCCGGCCUGAGAGGGUGACCGGCCACAUUGGGACUGAGAUACGGCCCAGACUCCUACGGGAGGCAGCAGUGGGGAAUAUUGCACAAUGGGCGGAAGCCUGAUGCAGCAACGCCGCGUGCGGGAUGACGGCCUUCGGGUUGUAAACCGCUUUCGCCUGUGACGAAGCGUGAGUGACGGUAAUGGGUAAAGAAGCACCGGCUAACUACGUG
rnacentral:rRNA from 1 species